CGACCUCAGAGCAGGCGAGACUACCCGCUGAAUUUAAGCAUAUUACUAAGCGGAGGAAAAGAAACUAACAAGGAUUCCCCCAGUAGCGGCGAGCGAACAGGGAAGAGUCCAGCACCGAACCCCGCAGGCUGCCGCCUGUCGUGGCAUGUGGUGUUUGGGAGGGUCCACUACCCCGACGCCUCGCGCCGAGCCCAAGUCCAACUUGAAUGAGGCCACGGCCCGUAGAGGGUGCCAGGCCCGUAGCGGCCGGUGCGAGCGUCGGCGGGACCUCUCCUUCGAGUCGGGUUGCUUGAGAGUGCAGCUCCAAGUGGGUGGUAAACUCCAUCUGAGACUAAAUAUGACCACGAGACCGAUAGCGAACAAGUACCGUGAGGGAAAGUUGAAAAGAACUUUGAAGAGAGAGUUCAAAAGUACGUGAAACCGUUCUGGGGUAAACGUGAGAAGUCCGAAAGGUCGAACGGGUGAGAUUCACGCCCAUCCGGCCACUGGCCUCCGCCCUCGGCAGAUGGGGCCGGCCGCCCGCGCGGAGCAAUCUGCGGCGGGGUCGUGUCCGGUUGCCUUUCCACUCGCCGCGGGGUGGGGCCGUUCCGGUGUGCGGUGGGCCGCACUUCUCCCCUAGUAGGACGUCGCGACCCGCUGGGUGCCGGCCUACGGCCCGGGUGCGCAGCCUGUCCUUCCGCGGGCCUCGGUUCGCGUCUGUUGGGCAGAGCCCCGGUGUCCUGGCUGGCUGCCCGGCGGUAUAUCUGGAGGAGUCGAUUCGCCCCUUUGGGCGCUCGGGCUCCCGGCAAGCGCGCGCGGUUCUUCCCGGAUGACGGACCUACCUGGCCCGGCCCCGGACCCGCGCCGCUGUUGGCUCGGGAUGCUCUCGGGCGGAAUAAUCGCUCCCGUCAGCGGCGCUUCAGCUUUGGACAAUUUCACGACCCGUCUUGAAACACGGACCAAGGAGUCUAACAUGUGCGCGAGUCAUUGGGCUGUACGAAACCUAAAGGCGUAAUGAAAGUGAAGGUCUCGCCUUGCGCGGGCCGAGGGAGGAUGGGGCUUCCCCGCCCUUCACGGGGCGGCGGCCUCCGCACUCCCGGGGCGUCUCGUCCUCAUUGCGAGGUGAGGCGCACCUAGAGCGUACACGUUGGGACCCGAAAGAUGGUGAACUAUGCCUGGCCAGGACGAAGUCAGGGGAAACCCUGAUGGAGGUCCGUAGCGAUUCUGACGUGCAAAUCGAUCGUCGGAGCUGGGUAUAGGGGCGAAAGACUAAUCGAACCAUCUAGUAGCUGGUUCCCUCCGAAGUUUCCCUCAGGAUAGCUGGUGCUCGUACGAGUCUCAUCCGGUAAAGCGAAUGAUUAGAGGCCUUGGGGCCGAAACGACCUCAACCUAUUCUCAAACUUUAAAUGGGUGAGAUCUCCGGCUUGCUUGAUAUGCUGAAGCCGCGAGCAAACGACUCGGAUCGGAGUGCCAAGUGGGCCACUUUUGGUAAGCAGAACUGGCGCUGUGGGAUGAACCAAACGCCGAGUUAAGGCGCCCGAAUCGACGCUCAUGGGAAACCAUGAAAGGCGUUGGUUGCUUAAGACAGCAGGACGGUGGCCAUGGAAGUCGGAAUCCGCUAAGGAGUGUGUAACAACUCACCUGCCGAAGCAACUAGCCCUGAAAAUGGAUGGCGCUGAAGCGUCGUGCCUAUACUCGGCCGUCAGUCUGGCAGUCAUGGCCGGUCCUUGCGGCCGGCCGCGAAGCCCUGACGAGUAGGAGGGUCGCGGCGGUGGGCGCAGAAGGGUCUGGGCGUGAGCCUGCCUGGAGCCGCCGUCGGUGCAGAUCUUGGUGGUAGUAGCAAAUACUCCAGCGAGGCCCUGGAGGGCUGACGCGGAGAAGGGUUUCGUGUGAACAGCCGUUGCACACGAGUCAGUCGAUCCUAAGCCCUAGGAGAAAUCCGAUGUUGAUGGGGGCCGUCAUAGCAUGAUGCGCUUUGUGCUGGCCCCCGUUGGGCGAAAGGGAAUCCGGUUCCUAUUCCGGAACCCGGCAGCGGAACCGAUACAAGUCGGGCCCCUCUUUUAGAGAUGCUCGUCGGGGUAACCCAAAAGGACCCGGAGACGCCGUCGGGAGAUCGGGGAAGAGUUUUCUUUUCUGCAUGAGCGUUCGAGUUCCCUGGAAUCCUCUAGCAGGGAGAUAGGGUUUGGAACGCGAAGAGCACCGCAGUUGCGGCGGUGUCCCGAUCUUCCCCUCGGACCUUGAAAAUCCGGGAGAGGGCCACGUGGAGGUGUCGCGCCGGUUCGUACCCAUAUCCGCAGCAGGUCUCCAAGGUGAAGAGCCUCUAGUCGAUAGAAUAAUGUAGGUAAGGGAAGUCGGCAAAUUGGAUCCGUAACUUCGGGAUAAGGAUUGGCUCUGAGGAUCGGGGCGUGUCGGGCUUGGUCGGGAAGUGGGUCAGCGCUAACGUGCCGGGCCUGGGCGAGGUGAGUGCCGUAGGGGUGCCGGUAAGUGCGGGCGUUUAGCGCGGGCGUGGUCUGCUCUCGCCGUUGGUCGGCCUCGUGCUGGUCGGCGGUGCAGGAUGCGCGCGCCUGCGCGGCGUUCGCGCCCCGGUGCUUCAACCUGCGUGCAGGAUCCGAGCUCGGUCCCGUGCCUUGGCCUCCCACGGAUCUUCCUUGCUGCGAGGCCGCGUCCGCCUUAGCGAGCUCCUCCGGGGGCGCGCGGGUGCGCGGAUUCUCUUCGGCCGCCAUUCAACGAUCAACUCAGAACUGGCACGGACUGGGGGAAUCCGACUGUCUAAUUAAAACAAAGCAUUGCGAUGGCCCUAGCGGGUGUUGACGCAAUGUGAUUUCUGCCCAGUGCUCUGAAUGUCAACGUGAAGAAAUUCAAGCAAGCGCGGGUAAACGGCGGGAGUAACUAUGACUCUCUUAACCGUCUUUGUUCUUCCUUCUUUAUGUCCUUAAUUUGUGUUUUUUGUUGUUCUUCCGCACUAAUAUAUAUAUGUGUAUGUUAGUUUUAUACUUUUAUCUUGUGGUACCGCCCUGUAAGUCCCCACCUCGGUGGUGGACAUGGCGUCAAACAUCUGCCACGCAUUAUAUAUGUAUAUGUAUAUAUAUUUGUGUUAUUCAAGUAAUUGAAUAAAGACGGCUGUUGAAUAGCUGUUGAAUAGCCAAAUGCCUCGUCAUCUAAUUAGUGACGCGCAUGAAUGGAUUAACGAGAUUCCCGCUGUCCCUAUCUACUAACCCCCAAGUGUCUGUAUUUGAGCUUGCUUGAUUAUUGUAAAGAUCGAACAGUUAAGUGGAUUGCGCCAGAACAUACAAUUACUAGGCAUGUUACUAAAGGAUGUCCUCAGGGCUCCAUUUGUGGUCCUAUAUUUUGGGACAUUUUUACAGAACCCCUCUUAGAGUUGCUGAAUAACAGUGAAAAUGUAGCCGGUGUAAUAGCUUACGCCGAUGAUUUGUUUGUGAUUAUAACAGGAGAUUCUAGAAAUUCUAUAGAGACAAGAGCUAACAUAAUGCUUAAUUUAGUAAGUCAGUGGUGUGCUUGUAACAAACUGCAAGUGGCUGUUAACAAAACAAAAUACAUGUUACUUAAAGGGAAAUUAUCAGCAGGAAGAGGACCCUCUAUAAAACUGCAAGAUACUCCAAUCAGUCGCGAAGCCAUUUGUAGAUAUCUUGGACUGUAUCUAGAUGAGGGUUUGAACUUUGGAGCACAUAUCAAACAAGUGUGUGAGAAGGCUAUGAGUCUCAUGAAUAAGAUUUGUACAAUAGCGACUUCCAGCUAUAAAUUACCCCCUAAUGCUAUUAGAAUAUAUCAUGAAGCGAUAUUGUUAUCAAUCGUAUCUUUUGGGGCUAGUGUUUGGGCACAUAAGCUAAGACAGGUACGACCUGUGAGACACUUGAGAAGGAUGCAACGAAGUGUGCUCAUUAGGAUGACUGGUGCCUUCAGAACAACACCUACUGAGGCAUUAUUGGUGGUCUUAGGACUGUAUCCUGUAGACUUACAAAUCCGCCAAAGAGGAGCUAGGUACUGGCUUCGUAAGGGUGACUUAGGUAGAGUGGAAGCAAUUACAGGACAAAGAAUAGAGGACAAAAUCCAGCUAGCACGCUGGCUGGAUAGAGAAUGGCAAAUAGUGUGGGAUAAUACUGAUACUGGAAGACGAGUACAUAGGAUAUUUCCAGAUAUUAAAGAGAGGAAGUGAAUGCGACACAUAAAUGCAACAAAAGGAAUGAUUCACUUCUUAACUGGACACGGACCGUACCCUACCUACUUCUUAAAAAUAAAUAGUUCAGACCAUGAUAGAUGUGAAUGUGGUGCUGAGGGAGAUCCAGAACACAUGAUAUAUGGGUGUCAAAACAGUGAUUUCGAAUCUGACGAGCUAGAGAUGUUACGUGAUAAAACCGUUAAUGAAAUAGUUCGUGAUGAAAAGGCGUGUGAAAUAGUGUGUAAAUAUGAAGAUAGGUACUCAGUUAGGCAAAUGCGGGAGUAUACUAUUGCUGGAGGACGAGCAGCGCAGCACGCAGCACGAAGACUGGAACGCCAGCAGCAUGUGAAUCCAGGUGUUCAAGGUCCAGCAACAGCAACGAGAGCUCGGCGCGCGCUUUCUCCAGACACACUAGAUGCUGCCAGAGGAACCGCACCACCUGUGCCACCUAACAUCUAUAAUCGCCGUCGCUUUCUGUGGUAUGCACCGCGUGGCCGUGCUCUAGCUGCCUAUAUGGCAAAUCGGCAGGCUCUGGGGCAGUUGUCUCCAGAAUCUGGCGAGGAGUCAGGGGGUGGCGAUGGGCGCGGUGCAGGGGAGGAUGCCGAAUACAACUAGUGAAUAAAAUGUUCAAGACAAGAGAACUACUUAGUUUAACUACAGUAGAAUAAUAAUUGUACAGUAAAUGUAGAUGUAGGAUGACUAAAAAAAAAGGAUUCAGUUGCCUCCUGGGUCGGACAGGGCGUGAGGAGUUCCAGAGAUUACUCUGAAGUGUUUCCACGUCCUGACCAUGUGAACAGGAGGUAAUUCUGCAAUGAGUUCAAACUGUUGCCUCAUGGGAGCGGAG